rnacentral:rRNA from 1 species
UACGAAGGGGGCUAGCGUUGCUCGGAAUCACUGGGCGUAAAGGGUGCGUAGGCGGUGAGGUAAGUCUGACGUGAAAUCUCCGGGCUCAACCCGGAAACUGCGUUGGAUACUAUCUCGCUAGAGGAAUGGAGGGGAGACUGGAAUACUUGGUGUAGCAGUGAAAUGCGUAGAUAUCAAGUGGAACACCAGUGGCGAAGGCGAGUCUCUGGACAUUUCCUGACGCUGAGGCACGAAAGCCAGGGGAGCAAACGGG